GAAAAGAUGAAAUAUGAAUGCCAUCUUUUUAUAUAAUAAUUUUAUUUAUAUAUUUUGUGAGAUAUUUUCAUCAAGUGAAAAAUAUUAUACCGUAAAAGCCUAAUUAAAAGACACUAUAUUCUUGUUUUGUUAAAAAAAAAAAAGAGGAUUUAUUAUGGAGACUUGAUAAAUAAAAAAGAAAAGGAAAAAUGAAAGUAUAAAUCAAAAU
rnacentral:misc_RNA from 1 species